rnacentral:rRNA from 1 species
AAACCAGCACCUCAAGUGGUCAGGAGGAUUAUUGGGCCUAAAGCAUCCGUAGCCUGUUCUAUAAGUUUCCGGUUAAAUCCAUUAGCUCAACUAAUGGGCCGCCGAAAAUACUGUGGAACUAGGGAGUGGGAGAGGUAGACGGUACUCGGUAGGAAGGGGUAAAAUCCUUUGAUCUAUUGAUGACCACCUGUGGCGAAGGCGGUCUACCAGAACACGUUCGACGGUGAGGGAUGAAAGCUGGGGGAGCAAACCGGAUUAGAAACCCCAGUAGUCC